AUUUAUGGCUAGAAUGGAUGAGGUACAACGCCAACUCACACAAUAAGACUAAUUGUUAUGUAUGCGGAGGUGCCAGACCCCAUCUGGGUACAGUACCUCUGAGUUUACCUCCGGAAAUAGAAUUAUGUGUACUGAGUUUGUAUGCACAAUCCACCACUAACUCCUCAACAUGUGAAUCCUGGAAGAAGAUUUACCCAAUCACUCAUGGACAUGUGAAACCACCCGAUGGAGUCACCAUCUACCCAGGUAAUUACACAUGCUAUUCAAUACCAAAAAACACUGGUUUGUAUCUGGGCAAAUUCCCAUCAGGAUACUGCUCAACUUACCAUAGUCCACCUGUACCACUGCUAAUGAAUCACACAAAGACAAUCGGUGAUAUCUAUUGGUUAUGUGGUGACAAACAAUUAAGGCCCCAAUUAGCUGGGCAAUGGUGGGGGGAGUGUGCCCUAACCAAAGUCAUAAUGCCUAUCCACAUCAUUCCAGAUGGUGACCAUAACACGCUAAACCUCACACAUAUACACUCUAGAACCAAACGAGAGACCCCUAUUCGAGGGAGUUUCGACCCCCAUGUGUAUAUUGAUGCCAUAGGUGUGCCAAGGGGGGUGCCUAACGAAUUUAAAGCAAGAGAUGAAGUGGCUGCAGGGUUUGAGUCCCUAAUCCCAAUGAUAACUGCUAACAAGAAUGUCAAUUGGAUUAACUAUAUCUAUUAUAAUCAGCAACGCUUUGUCAACUACACAAGGGAUGCCCUACAGGGCCUGGCAGAGCAACUACAAGCCACUACCCAAAUGACAUUUCAGAACAGAAUGGCCCUAGAUAUGAUUCUAGCCGAAAAAGGGGGAGUAUGUAAAAUCCUCCCUGAGACCAUGACAUGCUGCACAUACAUUCCAGACAACACUGGGCCCAAUGGUAAAGUGACUAUGGCCAUAGAAAAGCUAGAUAGUCUUGCAGACGAAUUAAAGAAGAAUUCGGGAGUCACUGACAUAUGGGACAAAUGGUUUGGGUGGAUGAAUGGCUGGCAAAAGACCCUCUUUCAGGUAGGGACAGCUGUUCUCAUGGUAUUCAUUAUCUUUUUGUUCUUAGCCUGUUGUAUACUCCCCUGUAUACAGAAAUAUCUGCAGAAAGCGGUGGAUAAGACUGUAGAUAAUGUGACCCCUACCUUCAUACAUCAAGAUAUCACAGACCUUGAAGAUGACACCCCACAUACACCCCUACACACACAUCAGCUUAAACAGACAACUGCUUUUUUGUAGGGAUAGAGUAGGGAAAGCGUCUGUCUUGACAGGUGAGUCUCACGUGUGGAGAUGUAGUGGGCUAGCCACUGCGGGAUACCCGCGGAGUGAAGUGUUCGAUGCUUGUCAAGACAGAUAGGUUGCGGGCAACUAGGGACAUAUUAGGGACAGCAGCAGUUGUAAUGGUAAAUAGCCAUUUUAGG